CUCCAGACUCCUACGGGAGGCAGCAGUGGGGAAUAUUGCACAAUGGGGGAAACCCUGAUGCAGCGACGCCGCGUGGGUGAAGAAGUAAUUCGUUACGUAAAGCCCUAUCAGCAGGGAAGAAAAUGACGGUACCUGAGUAAGAAGCCCCGGCUAACUACGUGCCAGCAGCCGCGGUAAUACGUAGGGGGCAAGCGUUAUCCGGAUUUACUGGGUGUAAAGGGAGCGCAGGCGGUAUGGCAAGUCAGAUGUGAAAACCCAGGGCCCAACCCUGGGACUGCAUUUGAAACUGCCAUACUGGAGUGCCGGAGAGGUAAGUGGAAUUCCUAGUGUAGCGGUGAAAUGCGUAGAUAUUAGGAGGAACACCAGUGGCGAAGGCGGCUUACUGGACGGUAACUGACGCUGAGGCUCGAAAGCGUGGGGAGCAAACAGGAUUAGAUACCCCUGUAGC
rnacentral:rRNA from 1 species